UGAUAGCAUAGUUGGUACAACAUGAGACUUUUAAUCUCAGAGUCAUGGGUUUGAGUCCCACAUUGUGCAAAA